UACGUAGGGUGCAAGCGUUGUCCGGAAUUAUUGGGCGUAAAGAGCUCGUAGGCGGUCUGACGCGUCGAAUGUGAAAACCCGGGGCUCAACCCCGGGCCUGCAUUCGAUACGGGCAGACUAGAGUUCGGUAGGGGAGUCUGGAAUUCCUGGUGUAGCGGUGAAAUGCGCAGAUAUCAGGAGGAACACCGGUGGCGAAGGCGGGACUCUGGGCCGAUACUGACGCUGAGGAGCGAAAGCGUGGGGAGCAAACAGG
rnacentral:rRNA from 1 species